ensembl:snoRNA small nucleolar RNA SNORA2/SNORA34 family
CAGGCCCUAAAUUAAGGUCAGCAGCUUCCUGACACUGUGGGUUUGAACCAGGAGGCUAAAGAGAUGUCUUUCUAUGAUCUGUUGGCCAUUUCGGAAGUUGGGCAGUGAAAUGGUCAAAAAAAAAGAAAGAAACAGUU